ACUCCUACGGGAGGCAGCAGUGGGGAAUUUUCCGCAAUGGGCGCAAGCCUGACGGAGCAAGACCGCGUGAGGGAGGAAGGCUCUUGGGUUGUAAACCUCUUUUAUCAGGGAAGAAGAUCUGACGGUACCUGAUGAAUCAGCAUCGGCUAACUCCGUGCCAGCAGCCGCGGUAAUACGGAGGAUGCAAGCGUUAUCCGGAUUUAUUGGGCGUAAAGCGUCCGCAGGUGGUUUUUCAAGUCUGCUGUUAAAGCGCAGAGCUUAACUCUGUAACGGCGGUGGAAACUGAGAGACUAGAGUAUGGUAGGGGUUGCGGGAAUUCCCAGUGUAGCGGUGAAAUGCGUAGAUAUUGGGAAGAACACCAGCGGCGAAAGCGCGCGACUGGGCCAUUACUGACACUCAUGGACGAAAGCUAGGGGAGCGAAAGGGAUUAGAUACCCCUGUAGUCCUAGCUGUAAACGAUGGGUACUAGGUGUUGACCGUAUCGACCCGGUCAGUGCCGUAGCUAACGCGUUAAGUACCCCGCCUGGGGAGUAUGCACGCAAGUGUGAAACUCAAAGGAAUUGACGGGGGCCCGCACAAGCGGUGGAGUAUGUGGUUUAAUUCGAUGCAACGCGAAGAACCUUACCAGGGCUUGACAUGUCGCGAAUCUCGGUGAAAGUCGAGAGUGCCUUCGGGA
rnacentral:rRNA from 1 species